rnacentral:rRNA from 1 species
UGGGGGAUAUUGCACAAUGGGCGAAAGCCUGAUGCAGCGACGCCGCGUGGGGGAUGAAGGCCUUCGGGUUGUAUACUUCUUUUGCUCUGAACAAGGCGCACCAUGGGGUGUGUUGAGUGUAGGGGUUGAUUAGCGCCGGCUAACUACGUGCCAGCAGCCGCGGUAAUACGUAGGGCGCGAGCGUUGUCCGGAAUUAUUGGGCGUAAAGGGCUUGUAGGUGGCUGGUUGCGUCUGUCGUGAAAGCUCAUGGCUUAACUGUGGGUUUGCGGUGGGUACGGGCUGGCUUGAGUGCAGUAGGGGAGGCUGGAAUUCCUGGUGUAGCGGUGGAAUGCGCAGAUAUCAGGAGGAAUACCGGUGGCGAAGGCGGGUCUCUGGGCUGUUACUGACACUGAGGAGCGAAAGCAUGGGGAGCGAACAGG